GAAAAUGUGGUGCUGAAAGGGAUACUCGACACUACUGCUACACAAGUGCAAAUGGUUCAGUCUCAUAUGAAGAAGACAGAGAAUAAAGUGUGGGAAAUUUUAAAAAGUUGGAGAUAGCAGGUGCGAAGGUGAUAACCGAACUAGAUGUCAUUAGAAGGUUCAAAGCUGGUAAUUGGCGAAGUAAUCAAGUUUUAUCCCAGGACAGGGAUGAAAUACUGUGUCAAGCCAUUAGGAGGAAGUUUCAGAAUCCGCAGAGAACAACCAGUCCACCUUUGCUGGAUGCGAAGGUUGAAUCUGUUGGUUCCAGAGAAAUGAUCUCUUGUCAACAAAGAGAACAUGAGUAUCAGCCAACUGAGGGUAUCAUGCAGCCAACUACGCCGAGCGGAAUGGAGGCUACUUCCAUUCAGGAUUGGAUUGCAAACAGCCGCAAUCAGCGAAACAGAAGAUCUACUGGAUCUUCGUUAACAUCUGCAAACUUCAGCGAUUCGUAUACUAGUAGCGAAGAGUUGGAUUACCCUCCAUGACGCACUAAUCAGUCGGACCGUCAUCGCAUUUAUAGGUCCAUAUCUCAGAGUAGAUCUCCGCAAUCCAACUAUUCAUGUAGCGACAGGAGUUAUACCUCAUAUGAUUCAUAUGAUAGUUCCCCAGAGGAGGAAUACCCAGUUGAAAGGAGUUAUACAUCAUAUGAUAGUUCCCCAGAGGAGGAACACUCAGUUGAAUACCCAGUAACAAGGAGUUAUACUUCAUACGAUUCAUAUGAUAGUUCCCCAGAGGAGGAACACCCAGUUACAAGGAUUUAUACAUCAUAUGAUAGUUCCCCCGAGGAGGAAUAUCCAUAUGAUAGUUCCUCAGAGGAGGAAUACCCAGUUGCAAGGAGGAGUCGAUUCUCCAAAAAUGAUCCACCGCAAAAAAAGAUGGGACAUGUUAAAAGAUUAACUACUAAGCUUGCAGGCAUGUUCCAUCGUCACCAUGAGGAUACAAAUGCAUCACCAUCCAGGGAGGAUAGAAAUGCACGGGAUCAUCAUCCUUCAAUUCAGAAUCCAGUGGGUAAUGGUGAACUCCACCAUGUAAGUAAAGGGAAACACAUGCCGGUACAAACGAGAAGAACAACGAAAGUUGAGGACAAGGCAAGCCACCAACAAGGACAUUUCCGACCACUUGUAAAAAGAUUACUUGUAAAAGGAUUUGUUGGUCACGUUUUUGGUUCGAAAAAGUCUAAGCCGUCGUCAUCUGGCGUCAGAAAGUUAGAAAGAGCGGUAACAGGUAAGGAAAAAAUUACUGCUAAGAAACGGCAUUGGUGGCAGAGUUUGCGAAGGCAGGGAUUACCUAAUAAAAGGGGCAAGGCACUCCUUACACAGGGGUAUAAGAAGAAACAUACCCAGUUAAAGGGCAGGCAUAGACAUGUAAAAUAAUAUUUAGCUUGUUAUGUAAGUAAAUGACUGCACCUAAAAUAUGUCAAUUAGUUGAUUAAUUUUUUUGUAUACCUACCAUUAAACCCAAAAUAUAUUGCAAGAGAAAAUGAUACUUGUGCUUUC